rnacentral:misc_RNA from 1 species
AACGCACGAGACCUGCGGACCUGCGGAGGGAUCAUUACUGAGUGAGGGCCCCUCGGGGUCCAACCUCCCACCCGUGUUUAACGAACCUUUGUUGCUUCGGCGGGCCCGCCUCACGGCCGCCGGGGGGCUCCUGCCCCCGGGCCCGCGCCCGCCGAAGCCCCCCCUUGAACGCUGCCUGAAGUUUGCAGUCUGAGAAACUAGCUAAAUUAGUUAAAACUUUCAACAACGGAUCUCUAGAUC